CCGGGCCUGGCGGACGCUUGUUGUUGUCCGGAGGCGGAGGUCGCAGGUUCGCUCGCUCGCUGGGUCGAUCUGUGGCGGUCGACAGCAGGUCGGUCGCGAGAGCGGGCGCUGUGCAGGGGGGCGAGGCUAUGUCGCGGUGGCAACCCGGAUGGGCCGGCAGGGCCGGGAGUAACGGGACGUCGCCGCGGAGCUUCUCCCAGAUACAGUGCGACCCGAGUGGAGGCCGCGGCGCCGCUUUCCGCCCCUGAGGAGGCCGCACCGCGCGGAGUCCGCCUUGCUUUCGCCCCGGUACCGACGCAAAGCGACCAGACCGGUCCGGCCCGAUCUGCCAGGCCCAUACAGGUGGGUGUCUGUCCUGUGCCCCGUGCCGUCCGGGGCCGCCGGAACCACAGCUCCCGGCGGGCCUGGCGCGGGCGCGCUGCCUCCUGGGACUUGUAGUUCCGCCACGGCUUGGCAGAUGCCCCGCACCCGACGCGCUGCCUCCUGGGACUUGUAGUUCUGCCGCGGCCUGGCAGGUUCCCCCUCGCGCGACCAGGCGAACGAUGCAGCUUGCUGGUUAGGCAGUAGCAACUCGCUCCGCUCCUUGUUACCGGAAGAGAUCAGGCGUACUUGCAGAGCAUAACGGUGGAGCCUAUAGGUUUCCUCUCCUUGCCAAAAAGCAGACACUAGAAUAGGGGCAGAGCCCCAGGAUGGAGGGGAGCCCAGCCCAGCCUGAAGACUACUACAGGAGUCAUACCCCUUCGCAGGCUAAAGUGAUCCUCGUAUUCGUUGGGCACUCUUCCUCUGGAUGGGAAAGGGAAGCCUUGAAUACCGUAUUCGUUUAGCCCCAGGGUGAGCAGGAUGGGGUAGGUCCCCCAGCCUGGCCCCAGAAGCCUGUGUUAUACAGGGGGGUGUGGCUGAGCUGGAUCUUGGACUUGCUGCUUUGGUAUGACAGGAUCUCAUCUCUCAGCCCGUCCUUAGUGUUUGGGAGCAGGUCAGAGGAGAGAGAAGGCCUGUGCAAACCCUGGGCAAAGGCUAGACCCAGUUGUGUACAGAGCUCUGGAGUAGGGGGACUGAAGGUAGAGCCCCAUAUGAGCAGAUACCCAUGACCUGGCUUCCCAUAUCCUUAGGCAGCACUAGCCCUUCUGGAGCAAGGAGUCUUUUCCCCAAGGACAUGAAGCUGUUGGAGAACUCGAGCUUUGAGGCCAUCAACUCACAACUGACAGUAGAGACUGGAGAUGCCCACAUCAUUGGCAGGUGAGGCUGGAAGCUCUGGGGGCCAGCAUCUCAGAGGUCACUGCCCUGGCCCCUGAGUUGAAACUUGAAGCGACAGAAUGCUCCAUGUUCCUGCCUGCAUCCCAUAGGAUUGAGAGCUACUCGUGUAAGAUGGCAGGAGAUGACAAACACAUGUUCAAGCAGUUUUGCCAGGAGGGUCAGCCCCAUGUGCUGGAGGCACUAUCCCCACCCCAGACUUCGGGCCUCAGCCCCAGCAGGUGAGCUGAGAUAGGACCUGCCUCUUUGGGUCUGUGGGAUGGCAGUCUAGGCUGAUGUUUGUCUCUGUGCAGACUGAGCAAAAGCCAGGGUGGUGAAGAUGAGGGUCCUCUCAGUGACAAGUGCAGUCGCAAGACCCUCUUCUAUCUGAUUGCCACACUCAAUGAGUCCUUCAGGCCAGACUAUGACUUCAGCACAGCCCGAAGCCACGAAUUCAGCCGGGAGCCCAGCCUGAGCUGGGUGAGGACUGGGAGGGAGCCCCACCCACAGCCAUUCCCACUGCCUUCCCACUGCCUUCCCCACAUCAGCCUGGGCUCUGCCUUGUUUGGUCCUGGACCCUGCCCUGGACCCCUAUCAGCCCCAGUGUGUCCUGCCCUAGGUGGUGAAUGCAGUCAACUGCAGCCUGUUCUCAGCUGUGCGGGAAGACUUCAAGGCCCUCAAGCCGCAGCUGUGGGACGCAGUGGAUGAGGAGAUCUGUCUAGCUGAAUGUGACAUCUACAGGUGGGCCUGUAUCUUCACAGGUAGACCCCUAGGUAUAUGUGACACGGAGAGUCUCAUACUAUGUCUUGGCCUACUCUGCAGCUAUAACCCAGACCUAGACUCGGACCCCUUUGGGGAAGAUGGCAGCCUCUGGUCUUUCAAUUAUUUCUUCUACAACAAGCGGCUCAAGCGAAUUGUCUUCUUCAGCUGCCGCUCCAUCAGGUUGGUGCUGCCAGUCUCCCUUCCUCCAGUUCCUAUUGGGCCUCACCAUCUCCUCAGGUUGCCCAUCUGUUCUCAACUUUGUGCUGCCUGGACAUCCUCCCUGGGCCAUCAGCAGGCCUGGGGCAGAUGGUCCUAAGAUUGUUUCCCCACUUCCCACCCAGUGGUUCCACUUACACACCCUCAGAAGCAGGCAAUGAGCUGGACAUGGAACUGGGGGAGGAAGAAGUGGAGGAAGAGAGUGGAGGCGGAGGCAGUGAGGGCAGGGCUGAAGAGACCAGCACCAUGGAGGAGGACAGGUAUGUGAUGGUGGUGGUGGUCCCAGUCCUUGGAGCCUCUAGUGCCUGGGCCAGGUCAGGGUCUCUUCUGCCUUGUCUCCUGAGUGGUGGCUCCUCAAACUCAUUGUAUGUCAA
rnacentral:lncRNA from 1 species